CUCCGGUUGAUCCCGCCGGACCCGACUGCUAUCAGAGUGGGACUAAGCCAUGCGAGUCAACAUAGCAAUAUGUGGCAUACGGCUCAGUAACACGUAGUCAACAUGCCCAGGGGACGUGGAUAACCUCGGGAAACUGAGGAUAAACCGCGAUAGGUCAUCACUUCUGGAAUGGGUAAUGACUUAAAUCUAUAUGGCCCCUGGAUUGGACUGCGGCCGAUCAGGCUGUUGGUGAGGUAAUGGCCCACCAAACCUGUAACCGGUACGGGCUCUGAGAGGAGGAGCCCGGAGAUGGGCACUGAGACAAGGGCCCAGGCCCUAUGGGGCGCAGCAGGCGCGAAACCUCUGCAAUAGGCGAAAGCUUGACAGGGUUACUCUGAGUGAUUUCCGUUAAGGAGAUCUUUUGGCACCUCUAAAAAUGGUGCAGAAUAAGGGGUGGGCAAGUCUGGUGUCAGCCGCCGCGGUAAUACCAGCACCCCGAGUGGUCGGGACGUUUAUUGGGCCUAAAGCAUCCGUAGCCGGUUCUACAAGUCUUCCGUUAAAUCCACCUGCUUAACAGAUGGGCUGCGGAAGAUACUAUAGAGCUAGGAGGCGGGAGAGGCAAGCGGUACUCGAUGGGUAGGGGUAAAAUCCGUUGAUCCAUUGAAGACCACCAGUGGCGAAGGCGGCUUGCCAGAAUGCGCUCGACGGUGAGGGAUGAAAGCUGGGGGAGCAAACCGGAUUAGAUACCCGGGUAGUCCCAGCCGUAAACGAUGCAGACUCGGUGAUGGGUUGGCUUCGCGCUAACCCAGUGCCGCAGGGAAGCCGUUAAGUCUGCCGCCUGGGUAGUACGGUCGCAAGACUGAAACUUAAAGGAUUGGCGGGGGGAGCA
rnacentral:rRNA from 1 species